rnacentral:rRNA from 1 species
GACGAACGCUGGCGGCGUGCCUAAUACAUGCAAGUAGAACGCUGAAGAGAGGAGCUUGCUCUUCUUGGAUGAGUUGCGAACGGGUGAGUAACGCGUAGGUAACCUGCCUUGUAGCGGGGGAUAACUAUUGGAAACGAUAGCUAAUACCGCAUAACAAUGGAUGACACAUGUCAUUUAUUUGAAAGGGGCAAUUGCUCCACUACAAGAUGGACCUGCGUUGUAUUAGCUAGUAGGUGAGGUAAUGGCUCACCUAGGCGACGAUACAUAGCCGACCUGAGAGGGUGAUCGGCCACACUGGGACUGAGACACGGCCCAGGCUCCUACGGGAGGCAGCAGUAGGGAAUCUUCGGCAAUGGGGGCAACCCUGACCGAGCAACGCCGCGUGAGUGAAGAAGGUUUUCGGAUCGUAAAGCUCUGUUGUAAGUCAAGAACGGGUGUGAGAGUGGAAAGUUCACACUGUGACGGUAGCUUACCAGAAAGGGACGGCUAACUACGUG